rnacentral:misc_RNA from 1 species
CAACCCUCAAGCCCGGCUUGGUGUUGGGGCGCCGCGGCGCGCCGCGGGCCCUGAAAGACAGCGGCGGGCCCGCCACGGUUCCGAGCGCAGUAGGUUCCUCUCGCUCCGGGAUCGCGGCCGGCUCGGCCUCGAGACGCACAUGACAAAA